UCUCUCUCUCUCUCUCUCAGACCCAGAGAGGACGAACAAAACAGAACAAACCCAGAAGAAACAGAACAAAACAAACGCUAAGACCCAAAAUCCAACUAUUCUUCUUCUUUCUCUCUCACUGUCAAAGCCUGAGCUCCCAAAACCCUAACUUUCUCUCUCGAUUUUUAUUUUCCCUAUUUUAUUUUCCGCAAUAAUAAUACUAAUAAUUGAAUAAUCAUUCUCUCUAUCUGUCUCUCGUACAU
rnacentral:misc_RNA from 1 species